rnacentral:rRNA from 1 species
CAGUAGCCGCGGGAAUACGUAGGGUGCGAGCGUUAAUCGGAAUUACUGGGCGUAAAGCGUGCGCAGGCGGUUGUGUAAGACAGGUGUGAAAUCCCCGGGCUUAACCUGGGAACUGCGCUUGUGACUGCACAGCUAGAGUAUGGCAGAGGGGGGUGGAAUUCCACGCGUAGCAGUGAAAUGCGUAGAGAUGUGGAGGAACACCGAUGGCGAAGGCAGCCCCCUGGGCCAAUACUGACGCUCAUGCACGAAAGCGUGGGGAGCAAACAGGAUUAGAUACCCCCGUAGUCCCUGUCUCUUAUAC